rnacentral:rRNA from 1 species
UAGGGAAUCUUCCACAAUGGGCGCAAGCCUGGUGGAGCAACACCGUGUGAGUGAAGAAGGGUUUCGGCUCGUAAAGCUCUGUUGUUAAAGAAGGACGUGGGUAAGAGUAACUGUUUACCCAGUGACGGUAUUUAACCAGAAAGCCACGGCUAACUACGUGCCAG